rnacentral:lncRNA from 1 species
GGCUGAGGCUUCUCUGCGGCUCUCCCCACAAGCAGGGCACCGCCUGCGUCCAGUGGGCACAGACCGCGGCAGAGGCAGGCGAGUCAGGGGGCGCAGACGCGAGCCCCAUGACGCCUCCUCUUUCCUGGGGAGGACGGCGCAGCCAACCAGCGUGCGCUGGACCCCAGACUCUGGCCUGGUGUUCCUGGGGACAGCCAGUGUCCCCCGUGCAGCCCCAGGGGCACAUGGACCCCGAGACCCCAGGCAGAGUAAGAGGGGAGCGGCCACGCAAGGCUAAGGAGUCCGGGGCAGGCAGUGAGUCUCCUCCUCCCACCUGUGCUCACAGUGGGCGCGGCCCGGCCGGGGGAGCCCUCGUCCCUGGAGAGCAGAGGCCUGCCUGGAGGUGGAGGUCCUGUGGGGCCGGGGUGCGGGCCGCCUGUUACCGGCGUCGGCGAUCCCUAUUUAUCUGUGCAUAUGUAAACUCCAUUUAUCAUUUAUGGAGGAGUCUGAUUAACUCAACAAAAUAUUAUCUCCAUAAAGUUCCAAAGUAAAGGACCUUAUGAGACACAGGAAGAACUCUAAAACAUAUUGUAAGCAGUGGCAUAUGAUCCUAUUUAAAUACAAAAACUGUGAGGUCCUAAUUCCAAGGCAGAUAGUUAAGUACACACCUGCCUCUCCCACUGAAUGUAACUUUAAAUCCUAGACAAAACGCAUGGAUUGGAUCCUCAAAACUCUAAAAUAUAAAUGGUAGUAGCAGACAAAUUAGGAAAGCAGACCUAUGUUCUAAAUUCCACAGAACUGGCAACGACUUCAUAAUUCUUCAGUUACUACACAGCUUGGACCCAAAGGCAGCCAGAAACACAGAAGUAUGCUCUGAAGGAGCCAAGAGAAACCCUCCCUUUCUGACUGAAGAGUGGGAAAGAGGGCUCCUGAAGAUCAGAGGGUGGGUCACAGCUCUUCCCCCACCUCCUUCUUCUUUUCUUACCUCUUCGCCAUUCCAGGUCCCAGAUGAUAUACCAUAGCAACCGUAUCUGGUAAGGCACUUAAAUCUCAGAGGAUUCAGAGUGAAUAGAUCCCUUCUCUUUGACCAAAAGAGCUAUGAUCCCAAGAGUGUGGGCAAAUCUCCAUUGAUUUUCUUCCUUCCGUCUCGUUACCUUCUCACCACAGAUGCAGUCACAGGAAGUGUACAGCAGAAGGAAGAAACUAAAGUCUCAGCUCUUUAGAUGAAGGACUGGGAAGGGAGGCUCCAAGGAGCCAGAAAGUGUCAAGGACUCUAUAAAAAGUAGCAAGAUGAAGAGUGUGAUCCCACAGUUGUUUGAAUUAUUCAAGUUACCUCUGAGCUGUACAUACAAUGGGUCUGACCCUAUAUAUAUAGCACAAGUUCUGAGAAGUGAGCUACCGGGAAGAACUAUUGUCCAGGUCUAAUUUACCACUGAGUAAUACACAUGCAGCAGUGAUCCAAGUAGUGCUGCAAUCACUUAGAAACUGAACUGAUACUGGAACCAUAGGUCAUGGAAGCACAUCAAAACAUGCAGCCUGAACCUAACUUGGCUGACUAUUAUCCUUAGUUACCCAGAGAUUCAUACACAAUAUCUGAAAAGUCAAAGAUGAAAUCCAAAAUUAUUUAGCAUACAAAGAACUAAGAAAAUUUCAACUCCACAAUCAACAAAAACCAAUCAUGACGUGACACAAAUUUUAGAAUAACCAGAGAAAGAUGUUAAGGCAGCUAUUAUAACCAGACACUAAAGGUGAACAUUUCUGAAGCAAAUGGAAAGAUAGUUUCAGAAAAGGAAUAUAAAGAAAGAUCAAAUGGCAAUUUUAGGAAUAAAAAAUACAAAAAUAAAAAAUUCACUGGAUGAACUCAGAAUGGAGAUAAAAGGGGUCAGUGAACUUGAGAUAGGUCAAUAGAAACCAUCCAAUAUGAACAGAAGAGGGGUUAAAAAAAAUAACUGAGGAGAGGCCUUGGGAUCUGUGAGACAAUACCAAACCGUCUAAUAUCAUUGGAGUCUGAGUCAGAGAGGAGAAAGGAGGUGGAAUAGCAAAAAUAUGAAUAGCUGAAAAUUUUAUGUAGUUGUGGAAAGAUAUGUACUUAUACAUUCAAGAACCUCAGAAAACCCCAAAUGAAAAAUUCAAAGAAAGCUCACCCAAACAUAUCAUAAUCAAAUUAAUAAAAAGGACAAAGAUUCCUGAAAGCAGCCAGAGAAAAUGUUUCAUAGGAUGAAAAAAUUAUUUGAAUGGCUGCAUAUUUCUCAUCAAAAGUCACGGAGGUCAGAAGGAAGUGGGAAUUUUUAAUGUGUUGUAAGAAAAGAAAUGUCAACCUAGAAUUUUAUAUCCUCUAAAAAUAUCUUUCAUGUAUUAAAGUAAAAUAAAGACAUUUUCAUAUGAAUGCAAACUAUGAGAAUUAGAAAUCAGCAGAUCAGCUCUAAAAGACAUGUUAAAAGUAGUUUUCCAGGUGGGAAGGAUAUGAUACCAAUGGAAACUCAGAACAGCAGGUGUUAAGAAAGAGCAACAGAAAUAACAAAUAUCCAGAUAUAUGUAAUGGACUGUUUUCCUCUUGAGCUCUUAAAAAUAUGUACAAUAGUCAUAAACAAAAUAUACUAUAUCAUCCAAAGGGGUUUUAUAAUUUAUAAGACAACUAUAAAGGGAUGUAAAUGGUGAUAAGAUACCUACAUUCCACUUGAAUUGGUAAAAUACUGAUUUUAAGUAUACUGUAAAAGUUUAAGUACAUUUAGGGUAAUCCCUUAAAAAAAGUAAAAAACUAGACAAAGAGAUACAGUAAAAAAACCACAACAGAUAAAAUACUAAAAAAAAUGCUCAAGAAAUCCAAAAGAGGGCAGGAAAAGAGAAAUGGAAAAAUGUAGAAGAGAAAUCAUACAGAAAAUAAUAAAAUGGCAGUUCUAAUCCAAUAUAUAAAUGCACAUAGUCUAAAUAAACCAAGUAAAAUAUUGAGAUUAUCAGAAAAAUUAAGGCGUGGAUCACUAUAUGCUCUCCAUAAGAAAGUCAUUUCUAAUGUAAUGACAAAGAUAGGUUAAAAGUAAAAUGACAGAUGGGAUGCCUGGGUGGCUCAGCUGGGUCAACCAGCUGCCUUCCGCUGAGGUGAAGUGAGUCUGCCUCUCUCUCUCCUUUUGCCCUGCUCCCUGCUUGUGCUUUCUCAAAUAAAUAAAUAAAAUCUUAAAAAAAUAAAAUAGAAAAGACUUACCAUACAAAAACUAAUCAAAAGAAAAUAAUCCUAGAUAUUUAUGUACCAAACAACAGACCUUCAAAAACCAACAGUCCUAAAAAAGGAAGAAUAGAUCCAUUAUCAAAGCUGGAGAUUUCAACAUUGCUUUUUCAGUAAUGACACCAGUAGAAAAUCAGCAAAGACAGAACUGAACAAUACCAGGAGAAUCCAAACUCUUUUCAAGUAUACAUGGAACACUUGGCAAACAGACCAGAUCUUAUCUCCUAACAAACUCUAACAUUUUAAAAGAACUGAAAUCAUACAAAAUAUGUUUUGAUGAUGAAUCUGAAAAUCAACAACUGCAAAAUAACUAGAAAAGCCUCCAAAAGUUUAGAAAUGGAAGAAAUAUCAAACAAUAUUAGAAACAAUUCUGAAUUGAACAAUAAAAAUUUAACAAUACUUGUGUGACAACUUAUAGCAUUAAAUGCUUUUGUUAGGGCAGCCCCGGUUGUGCAGCGCUUUAGCGCCAGCCUGCAGCCCAGGGUGUGAUCCUGGGGACCCGGGAUCGAGUUCCACAUUGGGAUCCCUGCGUGGAGCCUGCUUCUCCCUCUGCCUGUGUCUCCGCCUCUCUCUCUCUCUCUCUCUCUGUGUCUCUCAUGAAUAAAUAAAUAAAAUCUUUAAAAAAAAAAUGCUUUUGUUAGAAAAGUCUCAAAUCAACAAUCUACGCUUCCACCAUAAGAAACCAGAAAAAGAGGAAAAAAAUAAACAAAGCAAGCAAAAGGGAGGAAAUCAUAAAAAGUAAAAAUUAUUGAAACUUUACUGCAAGCUGUUUCUUUAAAAAAGAACACAAUUAAGAAACUCUAGUUUAGGGCAGCCUGGGUGGCUCAGCAGUUUAGCG